AGCAGCCGCGGUAAUUCCAGCUCCAAUAGCGUAUAUUAAAGUUGUUGCAGUUAAAAAGCUCGUAGUUGAAUUUCGGGGUUAGUAGGUUGGUCAUGCCUCUGGUAUGUACUGGUCUCACUGAUUCCUCCUUCCUGAUGAGCCGUAAUGCCAUUAAUUUGGUGUCGCGGGGAAUUUGGACUGUUACUUUGAAAAAAUUGAGUGUUUAAAGCAAGCUAACGCUUGAAUACAUUAGCAUGGAAUAAUGAAAUAGGACGUUCGAUCCUAUUUUGUUGGUUUCUAGGAUUGACGUAAUGAUUAANAGGGAUAGUUGGGGCAUUAGUAUUCAAUUGUCAGAGGUGAAAUUUCUUGGAUUUAUUGAAGACUAACUACUGCGAAAGCAUUUGCCAAGGAUGUUUUCAUUAAUCAAGAACGAAGUAGGGAUCGAAGACGAUCAGAUACCGUCGUAGU
rnacentral:rRNA from 1 species